UCUGAAAGCCUACCAAGGCAGGGGCUUCAGUGACUUAGCCAUGGCUCACCUGGUUGAAGCCAACUGACUCUCUCUGCUGGUGCCAUGUGGACCCCCCCUUCCCCUCAACCAUCUUCCAUUUUUCCUCAUAGCUUUUUCUGUGGGUUCUGAAGGCCUACUUCCUUCAAGUGAGCAGCAGCCUGCAUCUCCCACCUUACUCUAAGAACUUGGCUCAAAGGCUUGGCUCUGCCUCUUAGUUGUACUGGUGCAAUUCUUAUCCCUGAGCCAGUUACUAGCUGUGAGAGGAUCUGAAAUCAUUGUAGGGACCAAGAGUGACCUUGUCAAAGUGUUGUGUGAUGGAGAGUGAAAGACUGCUGGGAUGUGAUGGGUGCUGUCCUGUCUUCAUAGCAGUGAGCCUCCAGUAAUAGCCCAUAAUCCAUACUGCAAAGCCACACAGAGCAUAGUUAAACACACAGCAUAGUUAGUCUGUCUGCAGCUCCUGCUGUGAGACUCAAAAUGGUGUGUAAAAAAAAUCCUCCUAGGAUCUGGUGGUGGCAUAGCUUUCAAUCCCAGCACUCAGGAGGCAGAGGCAGGAGGAUUCCUGUGAGUUUGAGGCCAGCCUUAGGUUACAUAGUAAGUUUCAGGACAGCCAGAGCUAUGUAGAGAGAAAAGACUGGUGCUGGCUCAGGGCUUAAAUCACCUUGCAUCCCAGAAUACAAGAACAUUGUACACACUGUCACCAACCUGUAAGCCUAGCCUCAGGGAACAGGCUAUUUUUGUUUCUUCCACUGCUGUGACUGAAAAACUCGACCAAAAGCAACUUAGAGGAGGAAAUGGUUCAUCUGGCUUUCACCCCCAGGCCACACACCCAGUUCUUUACUUAGGGAAGUCAGGGAACGAACUCAAGCAGGAACUGAAGGCAAGCCUGCUGGCUAUUGCACACAGCAUGACCUCUGACUAGGGGACUCAGCCGCGGUCAUACAGCAGUGUCUCCGUCAUUAUCAAUUAGUGAUGGUCAAGAGACACCAUGACCAUGGCAAAGCAGUUAAUGGGGUUGGGAGAACUGUUUAUAGUUUCAAAGGCUUAGUCCACUGUCAUCACGACAGGGAGCCUGGUGGCACACAUGGCAGGCAUGGUGCUGCAGGAAUAGCUGAAAGAUAUAUCAUGAGAAUCCUUUUAAACAGUUCCCUCUCCGGUGGCCAGACACUCAAAUAUAUAUGCCUCUGGGAGCCAUUCUCACUCAAGACACAAGCCUGAACCACAGAGGAUGUAGUUUCUGCCGUUCUCCUGAUUAGCUAAGCUUUUUCAUAAGCCCCAGAACCACUUACCACUCACAGUGGGCUCCCUCCUCCAUCAGCUAGCAGUCAAGACAAUGCCCCAUGGACAGGCCCACACACCAGUCUGACCUGGGCAACCCUUCAAUUAAGACUUGCUUCUCAGGUGACUCUAGGCUAUGUGAAGUUGACAGUUAAAGCUAAUAAGGUCAUAGAGGAUCCUGAGCAUUCUGGCUAGCUAGCUAGACACAUCUGUGAGCUCUGGGUUUGAUUAAGAGACCCUGCCACAAUGAAUAAGGUAGAAGAGAAGUCAAUGAUUAUUCCUGACUCAACCUCAUGCCUUCAGAUACACAUCACAUGUACCCACAUGGGUGCUCAGGCACACAUGAACACUCAUGAUGCCCACACCAGCCUCCAUGUGUAGCCAAAAGUGCUGGCACAGUCUUAUCCUCCUGCCUCCAUUUCCUGCUUGGACAACUAUAACCACUGUGCCCAGCUAAGAUGCUGUCUCACUCAGUUCCCUGACACAUCAGGACAUGCUAGCAUCUACCUGCUUUGCUGCCAGACCUUCUGCCUUGAAAUGGCUUUCUCCACAGUGCUCACAGCCAUCUAGUGAGCCGGUCUUGUGCCUGGAGCCUUGCUACAGCCAGACCUUAGAGGUGAGAGGCCCCCUUCACGCCAUGGGACACUAGACAGACUCAGUGAAAGCAGCAGUAGAAACAGCUUGUUUUUCUGUGUUGGAUACAGAACCAGGACUUGAAGGCAAGUGCUAUAUCUCAAGCCAUACCCUGAGCCCUUACUGGGGGAAUCCAGGAAGGGGCUUUACUGCUCAGUCACAUUCCAGCUUCAAAAUGAGGCCUUUGAAGAUACCUUGUUCAGUUACUUCCCAAAUAAGGAUUCCAAUGCAUGCUUUAGCAAUUCUGAAAAUGUUAGUGUCAAAUUUUAUUUUUUUAAAAAAAUUACUGGUUAUGGCAAACAGAGGUUGUGUGCACCUUUAAUCAUAGCACUUGAGAGGCAGUGGCAGUGGCAGUGGCAGUGGCAGUGGCAGUGGCAGAAGCAGAGGCAGGCAGAUUUCUGAGAUCAAGGCCAGCCUGGUCUACAAAGUGAGUUCAGGACAGCCAGGGCUAUACAGAGAAUUCCUGUCUCCAACAGCAGCAGCAGCAGCAGCAACAACAACAAAGGUCUGGAGAGAUGGCUCAGCAGUUUGAUCCAUCUUAGCCCCCACAUCAGAUGGCACACAAAAGGCCUUUUGGCCUUUGGAGAUACCUGCCCAAACAUACACACACACACACACACACACACACACAGAAUUAAGAUCAAUAUUUUUAAAAAUUAUGGGCCAAUGAGCUGACUCAGUUGGUAACAGCACUUGCUACUCAGUCCCGAUGGGCUGAGUUCAAUCCCUGGCACUCAGAGAGUGGAAGUAGAGAGCCGACUUCAGAGUUGCUCUCUGACUCCACACAUUCACUAAGGUAAGCACCAUGGUGAUGACACCCCCACCAUGCACUCAUAUGCAUACCAAUAGUAGUAAUAAUAUAAUAACAAUAAAAUUAAAGAUCUAUUUUAAGCUGUAAUUUAAAAAUAUAUGCACAUGUAUUGAACAAUAAUUUGUUUGAGAUUUUUAAAAAUAAUACUUUUUUACUAACAUGUACUAAUUGUAAUAUAUUAAUGAAGACCCACAAGAUAUUUUCAGCAUGC
rnacentral:lncRNA from 1 species